rnacentral:rRNA from 1 species
UACGUAGGGUGCAAGCGUUAAUCGGAAUUACUGGGCGUAAAGCGUGCGCAGGUGGUUUUGUAAGUCAGAUGUGAAAUCCCCGGGCUUAACCUGGGAACUGCGUUUGAAACUACAAGGCUAGAGUGUGGCAGAGGGGGGUGGAAUUCCGCGUGUAGCAGUGAAAUGCGUAGAUAUGUGGAGGAACACCGAUGGCGAAGGCAGCCCCCUGGGUCAACACUGACGCUCAGGCACGAAAGCAUGGGGAGCAAACAGG